GUUACUGUACUUUAAGCAAAGAAGAUUUGGUUUGCAACUAAACAGUGAAUUUUUAUGUUCCAGUACCAA
rnacentral:tRNA from 1 species